rnacentral:rRNA from 1 species
UACGUAGGGGGCAAGCGUUAUCCGGAUUUACUGGGUGUAAAGGGAGCGUAGACGGCAGCGCAAGUCUGGAGUGAAAUCCCAUGGCUUAACCCAUGAACUGCUAUUGAAACUGUCGAGCUUGAGUGAAGUAGAGGUAGGCGGAAUUCCCGGUGUAGCGGUGAAAUGCGUAGAGAUCGGGAGGAACACCAGUGGCGAAGGCGGCCUACUGGGCUUUAACUGACGCUGAGGCACGAAAGCGUGGGGAGCAAACAGG